AGUACAGACGAGUUUGAUCAUGGCUCAGAACGAACGCUGGCGGCAUGCGUUAACACAUGCAAGUCGAACGAGACCUUCGGGUCUAGUGGCGCACGGGUGCGUAACGCGUGGGAAUCUGCCCUUUGCUACGGAAUAACUCAGAGAAAUUUGUGCUAAUACCGUAUAAUGUCGUAAGACCAAAGAUUUAUCGACAAAGGGAUGAGCCCGCGUAAGACUUAGCUUGUUGGUGAGGUAAAGGCUCACCAAGGCGACGAUCUUUAGCUGGUCUGAGAGGAUGAUCAGCCACACUGGGACUGAGACACGGCCCAGACUCCUACGGGAGGCAGCAGUGGGGAAUAUUGGACAAUGGGCGAAAGCCUGAUCCAGCAAUGCCGCGUGAGUGAUGAAGGCCUUAGGGUUGUAAAGCUCUUUUACCAGGGAUGAUAAUGACAGUACCUGGAGAAUAAGCUCCGGCUAACUCCGUG
rnacentral:rRNA from 1 species